rnacentral:snRNA from 1 species
GUGCUUCUCUCUUCGGCAGCACAUGUACCAAAAUUGGAAACGAUAUGGAGAAGAUUAGCACGGCCCCUGUGCAAGGAUGACAUGCAAAUUAAUUGAAGUGUCCACUAAAAAA